GUUGAACGCUGGCGGCAGGCCUAACACAUGCAAGUCGAGCGGAGCUGCUGACGGGUGAGUAAUUCCUAGGAAUCUGCCUGGUAGUGGGGGAUAACGUCCGGAAACGAGCGCUGAUAUCGUAUACUAUCAGUUGAGCCUGGGUCGGAUGAGCUAGUUGGGGGGGUAAAGGGCUACCAAGGCGACGAGCCGUAACUGGUCUGAGAGGAUGAGCAGUUAACCUGGAACUGAGACACGGUCCAGAGUCCUACGGGGGGCAGCAGUGGGGAAUAGUGGACAAUGGGCGAAAGGGUGAACGAGCCAUGCCGCGUGUGUGAAGAAGGUCUUCGGAUUUUAAAGUAUUUUAAGUUGGGAGGCGUUAGCAACAGAAUAAGCACCGGCUAACUACGUGCCAGCAGCCGCGGUAAUAC
rnacentral:rRNA from 1 species